rnacentral:rRNA from 1 species
GAUGAACGCUGGCGGCGUGCCUAAUACAUGCAAGUCGAGCGAACAGACGAGGAGCUUGCUCCUCUGACGUUAGCGGCGGACGGGUGAGUAACACGUGGAUAACCUACCUAUAAGACUGGGAUAACUUCGGGAAACCGGAGCUAAUACCGGAUAAUAUAUUGAACCGCAUGGUUCAAUAGUGAAAGACGGUUUUGCUGUCACUUAUAGAUGGAUCCGCGCCGCAUUAGCUAGUUGGUAAGGUAACGGCUUACCAAGGCGACGAUGCGUAGCCGACCUGAGAGGGUGAUCCGCCACACUGGAACUGAGACACGGUCCAGACUCCUACGGGAGGCAGCAGUAGGGACUCUUCCGCAAUGGGCGAAAGCCUGACGGAGCAACGCCGCGUGAGUGAUGAAGGUCUUCGGAUCGUAAAACCCUGUUAUUAGGGAAGAACAAAUGUGUAAGUAACUAUGCACGUCUUGACGGUACCUAAUCAGAAAGCCACGGCUAACUACGUG